AAGAGAAAAAUAUUUGCACAAUAUUUAUAUGACAAAAGCCUUUCACUCAAAAUAUACCCCAAAAAAAGCACUUCUAAAACUAACCACAGAAAAACAUCCCAAUUUUUCAAGAUGAGUAAUAAACAGAUUAAAACAAACACCCAGAUACUUCACCAGAGAAGGCAUGCAGAU